UCAAAUCGGUGGAGCCUUAAACCUAAUCUUGCUGUCGUAUUGUAAACUCGGCGUAACGCUUGUGCCGAGGAAGCCGCCACCGAACAUCGUGUUAAAAGGCUAAUUAGGAAAAAGUAGGGCCUACGUGUGCGAGUAUAAAAAUGGAAUCGAUGCAGAAUGCGUAUUCGAGAAAAGUUCACGAUUCUUACGAGGAUGAAGAGGAGAAGAAACAUUUUCAACGUAUUGUUUCAGCGUUCAGACACUACAAAUCUCAUUCCCUGCAGAGAGUUAAAAAGACAGAAUCUUAUCUAUUAUCCUUACCAGUGCAUCAUCAAAAACUCUUAUCAAAAUAUAAAGAACAUCUUCAGGAAGUCAAGAGAUGUAUUGAAUAUAACAACGACAUAAUAAGGUUCAUCAUAAAAGAUGUAGCUCAUAUUUUUGAAAACGUGAGCCCAGCUAGUGCACAAAAUGAUAGUACACAGAACACUCGACCUGUAUUGGCUGACCAAGAAAAAGUACAAGCUACUAUUAAACAAUUAGUUCGUGACUGGAGCGUGGAAGGAAGCGAAGAACGUAAAGCUUGCUAUCAGCCUAUCAUAGAUGAAAUAACUAAUCAAUUUCCAUUAGAUAAAUGUACUCCAUCACAAGUGCAAAUUCUAGUACCUGGUGCAGGAUUGGGUCGUCUUGCGUAUGAAAUUGCAAGGCGUGGUUACACUUGCCAAGGGAACGAAUUUUCUCUCUUUAUGCUCUUCGCGUCACAUUUUGUAUUAAAUAAAUGCAGAGGUAUAAAUUCAUAUCAAGUACAUCCAUGGGUACACCAAUAUAUGAACAAUUUAAAACCUGAACAUCAAACGCAGGCUGUUUUCUUCCCUGAUGUAAAUCCCAGUGAUCUUCCAGAAAAUGCACAAUUUUCUAUGACGGCAGGAGAUUUCUUAGAAGUUUAUACGGAAGAUGACCAUUGGGAUUGUGUUGCUACAUGUUUCUUUAUAGAUUGUGCAAACAACGUGGUACAAUUUAUAGAAACCAUCUAUAAAAUUUUAAAACCGGGGGGAAUAUGGAUAAAUCUCGGUCCGUUGCUGUAUCAUUUUAGUGACAUGCCUAUGGAAGAUUCAAUAGAACCAAGUUAUGACGCGGUUCGUGAUGUUAUACAAGGUUUUGGUUUUCAUCUCGAGAAAGAAGAGACACAUAUGAAAACACGUUACGCGCAAAAUGUGAACAGUAUGUUACAGUGCGAGUAUAAUAGCGUUUAUUUUGUAUGUCGGAAACCUAAAAGGCAUAUUAGUAUAUUGGGCCAUCAAAAUGGUGCUGAAAGUAAUGGCAUACAAGAACAAGAACAAGAAAAUUAAAUCUUGACAAAUCUGAUAUGUUUUACUCAUGAGGAAAAUUGAUGGAAUUGUACAAGGACUAAAGUACUACAAUUUAUACAGAACAAAUUCAAAGACAACCAUAACAUAUUUAACUUCUGGUGCUAACGAAGCCUUAUUUAGUUUUUUCUUUAUCCUUGGUCAUUAUUACAAAUUAUGAAGACAAGUUAAAAAAUCAAAUUAAAUUAAACGAACAGACAAAGUUUCAUCGGAGAAGAAACUACAGCUUACAUAAAUAAAUGUAUCAUUUUUCUAUAUUAUCAUUAAUUCCUUUCAAAAAUUAUUGUAAAAAGCAUGUAUAGAGAAUGAUAUAUAAAUGAUCACUGAAAGUUUUUACUUCGUUAUAUGUGUUAUUAUUCAAAUAUAUAAUUUUGUAAUGGCAAAUGUGGAAGUAAAUACUUUUCAAGCGUU
rnacentral:misc_RNA from 1 species